GAGAAGAUCCCAAUACAAUCCACACACACAAUGUUCUCUACAUCUCUACUGCUCCUGCUGGCAGCUGCUUCCUAUGUGCAUGGUGUUGAACUGACUCAGCCUGCUUCCAUGACAGUCCAGCCAGGCCAGAGUCUCUCCAUCAACUGCAAGGUUUCAUAUUCAGUUACCAGCUAUGGUACAGCUUGGAUCCGACAACCUGCAGGAAAAGCUCUGGAGUGGAUUGGAUACAUCUAUAGCGGUGGUAGUACAUAUUACAGUGACAAACUGAAAAAUAAGUUCAGCAUCUCCAGAGACACUGCUACUAACACAAUAACAAUUCGAGGACAGAAUCUGCAAACUGAAGACACAGCUGUGUAUUACUGUGCAAGAUACACAGUGACACAGAAUAGUGGAUUCUCCUUACAAAAACUUUGA